rnacentral:rRNA from 1 species
GUGCCAGCCGCCGCGGUAAUACGUAGGGUGCGAGCGUUGUUCGGAAUUACUGGGUGUAAAGGGUCCGCAGGCGGGCGAGCAAGUCGGUGGUGAAAGUUCAUGGCUUAACUGUGAAAUUGCCUUCGAUACUGCUCGUCUUGAGUUCGAGAGAGGAUGAUGGAAUUCAUGGUGUAGCAGUGAAAUGCGUAGAGAUCAUGAAGAACACCAGUUGCGAAGGCGGUCAUCUGGCUCGAUACUGACGCUCAGGGACGAAAGCGUGGGUAGCAAACAGGAUUAGAAACCCGAGUAGUCC